UACGGAGGGUGCAAGCGUUAUCCGGAUUCACUGGGUUUAAAGCGUGCGCAGGCGGUGAUGUAAGACAGAUGUGAAAUCCCCGGGCUCAACCUGGGAACUGCAUUUGUGACUGCAUCGCUGGAGUGCGGCAGAGGGGGAUGGAAUUCCGCGUGUAGCAGUGAAAUGCGUAGAUAUGCGGAGGAACACCGAUGGCGAAGGCAAUCCCCUGGGCCUGCACUGACGCUCAUGCACGAAAGCGUGGGGAGCAAACAGG
rnacentral:rRNA from 1 species